GCGUCGGUCACCGACAUUUACAGCUAAGCUAUCAACGAUAUUUAUUACAAAUUACCACCUAAUGAAAUAGGUUAUUUACAAGGGCCCAACCUAAAGAUCCGACCCACCUAAAUCUAACCCUAGAAUCCGACCAAACUAAAAGCGAAACGACAUCGUUCCUUCUCCACCCCAAACUCUCUCCCUCUUGCGACGGAAAACCAAAGCCCCUUAGCAGCAGAGUCGCAUCGUUCUUUGUCCCUUCUCCAUCUAAAUCGAGAAUUCAUCAAUCUCUCUCUCUUAUUUCUCGUGUCUCAAGUCUCUCUGUCCCUCAUUGUGAUUGAAACCCCUCCAAAACCCCUAAGUCGAGAAUCACAUCGUUUUUUUCUUUGUGGUAAGUGAUUAGUUUCUCUUUAUUUGAUAGUUAUUUGGUCGUUUUGUAACUAGGUUUGAAAAUUUUUUUGGGGAAACUUAAUAAAUGUGUCUGUAGAAAAAGAAUAUUGGCUUUGAAAUUGGGGUAAAAACUUGUGUAAUCUUAUUAUCAGGUAUAUGUUACACAGACCGAAAACUGAUACAAUUUUUGUGUGUUUUGAGUAAGCUGUAUUAAAUUGUUGAGAUGCCUAGUUAAGACUAAAAUAAAUAUUUAGUUGAGACUAGCAUCACUCUCUUUCUUGAUCUUCUACCUGGUAUCCCUUUAUGGAUGAAGAAUCCUGACUAUGAAAGAAUAUUGAAGGUGGACUGGCUUGGCUCCACAGAUUUAUCUCAUACAUGUGGCCCUACCUUGAUAAGGUUGUUUGCAAGAUUAUUCGGAGCUCCGCACAACCCAUAUUGCAGAUUACAUUGGCACUUUCUGUAUAGAAUCCAUUGAGUUCGAGAAACUGAGCCUUUCACCCACAGUUCAU